GACGAACGCUGGCGGCGUGCUUAACACAUGCAAGUCGAGCGGUAAGGCCCUUUCGGGGGUACACGAGCGGCGAACGGGUGAGUAACACGUGGGUGACCUGCCCUCAGCUCUGGGAUAAGCCUGGGAAACCGGGUCUAAUACUGGAUAUGACUCCAUGACGCAUGUUGUGGGGUGGAAAGCCUUGUGCGGCUGAGGAUGGGCCCGCGGCCUAUCAGCUUGUUGGUGGGGUGANGGCCUACCAAGGCGACGACGGGUAGCCGGCCUGAGAGGGCGACCGGCCACACUGGGACUGAGACACGGCCCAGACUCCUACGGGAGGCAGCAGUGGGGAAUUUUGGACAAUGGGCGCAAGCCUGAUCCAGCAAUGCCGCGUGAGUGAAGAAGGCCUCGGUUGUAAGUAC
rnacentral:rRNA from 1 species